AAUUAAGGCCUGUGGGACUCUUCCUUUCCUAGAUGAAAACCUUCUAACUGUUGCUAAUUUUUCCGUAGGUUGCCCAUCCUCCUGGAUAUCCUUUGUUCACGCUGGUGGCUAAACUGGCAAUUACACUGUUUCCUUUUGGUUCAAUUGCCUACCGCGUCAAUCUUCUUUGUGGCUUAUUUGGAGCAGUAGCUGCAUCAUUACUUUUUUUCACCGUUUUCAGGCUUUCUGGCUCAUCUGCUGGAGGAAUCCUUGCUGCGGGGGUGUUUUCAUUUUCUCGUCUAACAUGGCAGUGGUCCAUUGCAGCAGAGGUUUUUAGCUUAAACAAUCUCUUUGUGGGGCUGCUUAUGGCUCUUACUGUACAUUUUGAGGAAGCAGCAACUGCUAAGGAGAGAUCAAAGAUAGCUAAAAUUGGUGCUUUCUGCUGUGGCCUUAGUUUAUGUAACCAGCACACAAUAAUACUCUAUGUUUUGUGCAUAAUACCUUGGAUUCUCUUUCAACUUUUAAAAAAGAAGGAACUCUCCCUGGGCUCUUUGUUGAAGUUGAGCCUGUACUUCUCUGCUGGUUUGCUGCCCUAUGUCCACCUUCCCAUCUCAUCU
rnacentral:sRNA from 1 species